rnacentral:rRNA from 1 species
AAUUUUGGACAAUUGGGCAAACCCUUAUCCAGCCAUCGCGCGUGUAUGAUGGAGGCCUUCGUGUUUUAAAGUACUUUUGGCUGAGAAGAAAAGGUACCCCCUAAUACGGGAUACUCCUGUCGGUUUCUGCAGAAUAAGCACCGGCUAACUACGUGCCAGCAGCCGCGGUAAUACGUAGGGUGCAAGCGUUAAUCGGAUUUACUGGGCUUAAAGCGUGUGUAGGCGGUUCGGAAAGAAAGAUGUCAAAUCCCAGGGCUCGACCUUGAAACUGAAUUUUUAACUGCCGACCUAGAGUAUGUCAGAGAGGAGUAGAAUUCCACGUGUAGCAGUGAAAUGCGUAGAUAUGUGGAGGAAUACCGAUGGCGAAGGCAGCCCCCUGGGAUAAUACUGACGCUCAGACACGAAAGCGUGAGGAGCAAACAGG